rnacentral:rRNA from 1 species
GGGCCCGCACAAGCGGUGGAGCAUGUGGUUUAAUUCGAUGCAACGCGAAGAACCUUACCAGGGCUUGACAUACUACAGAUUCUUUAGAGAUAGAGAAGUGCCUUCGGGAAUGUAGAUACAGGUGGUGCAUGGCUGUCGUCAGCUCGUGUCGUGAGAUGUUGGGUUAAGUCCCGCAACGAGCGCAACCCUUAUUUUUAGUUACCAAUUCGUUGGGUUCUCUAGAAAGACUGCCGGUGACAAACCGGAGGAAGGUGAGGAUGACGUCAAGUCAGCAUGCCCCUUAUGUCCUGGGCUACACACGUGCUACAAUGGUUAAGACAAAGAGUCGCGAGCUUGCAAAAGUCAGCUAAUCUCAUAAACUUAGCCUAAGUUCAGAUUGUAGGCUGCAACUCGCCUGCAUGAAGUUGGAAUCGCUAGUAAUCG